ACGAACGCUGGCGGCGUGCUUAACACAUGCAAGUCGAACGGAAAGGCCCUGCUUUUGUGGGGUGCUCGAGUGGCGAACGGGUGAGUAACACGUGAGUAACCUGCCCUUGACUUUGGGAUAACUUCAGGAAACUGGGGCUAAUACCGGAUAGGAGCUCCUGCUGCAUGGUGGGGGUUGGAAAGUUUCGGCGGUUGGGGAUGGACUCGCGGCUUAUCAGCUUGUUGGUGGGGUAGUGGCUUACCAAGGCUUUGACGGGUAGCCGGCCUGAGAGGGUGACCGGCCACAUUGGGACUGAGAUGCGGCCCAGACUCCUACGGGAGGCAGCAGUGGGGAAUAUUGCACAAUGGGCGGAAGCCUGAUGCAGCAACGCCGCGUGCGGGAUGACGGCCUUCGGGUUGUAAACCGCUUUCGCCUGUGACGAAGCGUGAGUGACGGUAAUGGGUAAAGAAGCACCGGCUAGCUACGUG
rnacentral:rRNA from 1 species